rnacentral:lncRNA from 1 species
UCGUUGAAAUCAUGUAGCUACAUGUUGUUUUUACAUGUUGUUUCUAUGUGUCAGUUAGUGUGUUUCUACGUGUUGUUUAUCACUAAAAUGAUGUUAGCUAGUAUGUUUCUUUUUUAGAUAGUCAUGGUUGAUUUGACAAGCACCUCUCAUACAACAUGUGAUACAACCUCUGUUAAUACAAAAUGUAAAAGAAAAACUAGAGGUGUUGCGAUAUUUAUCAAGGUGAAAAAAGUCCAUGAAAAGGGUAUUCGCUAC